GGGUUGUGAGGUUAAGCGACUAAGCGUACACGGUGGAUGCCCUGGCAGUCAGAGGCGAUGAAGGACGUGCUAAUCUGCGAAAAGCGUCGGUAAGGUGAUAUGAACCGUUAUAACCGGCGAUGUCCGAAUGGGGAAACCCAGUGUGAUUCGUCACACUAUCGUUAACUGAAUACAUAGGUUAACGAGGCGAACCGGGGGAACUGAAACAUCUAAGUACCCCGAGGAAAAGAAAUCAAC
rnacentral:rRNA from 1 species